rfam:Brachypodium distachyon strain Bd21 chromosome 3, whole genome shotgun sequence.
ACCGUAUUCCCUCCGUCCAACAAAAAAUGUCUGAAGUUUGACAAAAUAUAAAUAUAUCUAAUGUGUAUAGAUGCAUUCAAAUUUAGUCGAAAUUGAAACAUGUUUUGUUGGACGGAGGAAAUAUACG